GUUGCGCCCGAGACCUUUAGGUUGAGGGCACGUCUGCCUGGGCGUCACACACAGCGUUGCUCCACACCAACCUAGUUGGUAGGGAGCGGAUAUUGGCCUCCCGAGUCCUUUGGGCAUGGU
rnacentral:rRNA from 1 species